AGAGUUGAUCCUGGCUCAGAGCGAACGCUGGCGGCAGGCUUAACACAUGCAAGUCGAACGCUCGUGGCAACACGGGAGUGGCAGACGGGUGAGUAACGCGUGGGAACAUGCCCUUUGGUUCGGAAUAACUCAGGGAAACUUGAGCUAAUACCGGAUGAGCCCGAGAGGGGAAAGAUUUAUCGCCGAAGGAUUGGCCCGCGUCCGAUUAGCUAGUUGGUGAGGUAACGGCUCACCAAGGCGACGAUCGGUAGUUGGUCUGAGAGGAUGAUCAGCCACACUGGGACUGAGACACGGCCCAGACUCCUACGGGAGGCAGCAGUGGGGAAUACUGGACAAUGGGGGCAACCCUGAUCCCAGCCAUGCCGCGUGAGUGAUGAAGGCCUUAGGGUUGUAAAGCUCUUUCGGCGGGGACGAUAAUGACGGUACCCGCAGAAGAAGCCCCGGCUAACUUCGUGCCAGCCGCAGC
rnacentral:rRNA from 1 species